UACAGAGGGGGCAAGCGUUAUUCGGAAUUAUUGGGCGUAAAGGGCGCGUAGGCGGCCUGGCAAGUGGAAGGUGAAAUCCCUCGGCUUAACCGAGGAACUGCCUCCCAAACUGCUUGGCUUGAGACCAGGAGAGGUGAGUGGAAUUCCCAGUGUAGCGGUGAAAUGCGUAGAUAUUGGGAGGAACACCUGUGGCGAAAGCGGCUCACUGGACCACAACUGACGCUGAGGCGCGAAAGCUAGGGGAGCAAACAGG
rnacentral:rRNA from 1 species